CUGGAUUAUACAAUGAGAAAGAGGUAGUCUUGUCCUCUGCCUAUAUUAAAAUUAAAUAAUUUUAAAAUAGAUAAAUAAAAAAUUAAACUUAAAACAUUUUAAUUGUCUUAAUUUAAAAAAAAAAAAAAAGUAUGUGGAGAGAGAGUGGAUCAAUAAUCGCAUUCUACGCACAUCACACGGUACUGGAUCGCUUGGUGAUGGUGACAAAUGUGGCAGUCCAAAUUGGAGGCUGUUUCAAAGUGAAAGCAUUUCUAGGCAUAGCAUAUUGUCUUGAUCUGCCUCCAGCUCUGUAAUAUCGUAUGGUUCAAAACCUUAGAGAUCUGACGAUCCUUGCUCUGAAUUUAAUAUGGCAAAUUAUAGUGAAUGUGUACAUACAUUGAUAGUACACUUAAAAUAUAU
rnacentral:misc_RNA from 1 species